GUGAGGAAUUUUGCGCAAUGGGGGCAACCCUGACGCAGCGACGCCGCGUGGAGGACGAAGUCUUUCGGGAUGUAAACUCCUGUCAGUGGGGACGAUAAUGACGGUACCCACAGAGGAAGCACCGGCUAACUCCGUGCCAGCAGCCGCGGUAAGACGGAGGGUGCAAGCGUUGUUCGGAAUUACUGGGCGUAAAGCGUAUGUAGGCGGCAAGUUAAGUUCAAUGUUAAAGCCCACGGCUCAACCGAGGAGAUGCAUUGAAUACUGGCUAGCUAGAGGGUGUUAGAGGAAGACGGAAUUCCCAGUGUAGCGGUGAAAUGCGUAGAUAUUGGGAGGAACAUCGGUAGCGAAAGCGGUCUUCUGUGACAUACCUGACGCUGAGGUACGAAAGCGUGGGGAGCAAACGGGAUUAGAAACCCUGGUAGUCC
rnacentral:rRNA from 1 species